AUUGCUUCUCAGCCUUUUGGCUAAGCUCAAGUGUAGUAUCUGUUCUUAUCAGUUUAAUAUCUGACAUAUCCUCUAUCUUUUA
rnacentral:snRNA from 1 species